CCUACGGGUGGCAGCAGUGGGGAAUAUUGGGCAAUGGGCGCAAGCCUGACCCAGCAACGCCGCGUGAAGGAAGAAGGUUUUCGGGUUGUAAACCUCUUUUGUCAGGGACGAAGCAAGUGACGGUACCUGACGAAUAAGCCACGGCUAACUACGUGCCAGCAGCCGCGGGAAUACGUAGGCGGCAAGCGUUAUCCGGAUUUACUGGGUGUAAAGGGCGUGUAGGCGGGACUGCAAGUCAGAUGUGAAAACCACGGGCUCAACCUGUGGCCUGCAGUUGAAACUGUAGUUCUUGAGUACUGGAGAGGCAGGCGGAAUGCCUAGUGUAGCGGUGAAAUGCGUAGAUAUUAGGAGGAACACCAGUGGCGAAGGCGGUCUGCUGGACAGCAACUGACGCUGAGGCGCGAAAGCGUGGGGAGCGAACAGGAUUAGAUACCCCGGUAGUC
rnacentral:rRNA from 1 species